rnacentral:rRNA from 1 species
CCUUGACAUACUAAGAACUUUCCAGAGAUGGAUUGGUGCCUUCGGGAACUUAGAUACAGGUGCUGCAUGGCUGUCGUCAGCUCGUGUCGUGAGAUGUUGGGUUAAGUCCCGNAACGAGCGCAACCCUUUUCCUUAUUUGCCAGCGGGUCAUGCCGGGAACUUUAAGGAUACUGCCAGUGACAAACUGGAGGAAGGCGGGGACGACGUCAAGUCAUCAUGGCCCUUACGGCCAGGGCUACACACGUGCUACAAUGGUCGGUACAAAGGGUUGCUACCUCGCGAGAGGAUGCUAAUCUCAAAAAAGCCGAUCGUAGUCCGGAUCGCAGUCUGCAACUCGACUGCGUGAAGUCGGAAUCGCUAGUAAUCGCGGAUCAGAAUGCCGCGGUGAAUACGUUCCCGGGCCUUGUACACACCGCCCGUCACACCAUGGGAGUUUGUUGCACCAGAAGUAGGUAGUCUAACCGCAAGGAGGACGCUUACCACGGUGUGGCCGAUGACUGGGGUGAAGUCGUAACAAGGUAGGCGUAGAUGA